AGAGUUUGAUCAUGGCUCAGGAUGAUCGCUGGCGGCGUGCCUAAUACAUGCAAGUCGAACGAGGUGCUUUUGUAGCAAUACGAGAGUAUCCUAGUGGCGAACGGGUGAGUAACGCGUUGGCGACCUACCCCAAAGUGUGGGAUAACAGUCCGAAAGGAUUGCUAAUACCGCAUGUGGUCUUCGGAUUUAGAAACUGAUGACUAAAGGAGCAAUUCGCUUUGGGAGGGACCUGCGUCCCAUCAGCUAGUUGGUGAGGUAAUGGCUCACCAAGGCUACGACGGGUAGGGGACCUGAGAGGGUGACCCCCCACAGUGGAACUGAAACACGGUCCAUACACCUACGCGUGGCAGCAGUAGGGAAUAUUGCACAAUGGGCGAAAGCCUGAUGCAGCAACGCCGCGUGUGCGAUGAAGGCCUUCGGGUCGUAAAGCACUUUUCUGGGAGAUGAGCAAGGACGGUAUCUCAGGAAUAAGUCUCGGCUAACUACGUG
rnacentral:rRNA from 1 species